CCUGAAAGGUGACGACUUACUUGCUACCACACAGGCGCACAUACCCGAAAAUAAGCAUCUAAGACAGAUUGAUAGCUCUUUCUCGAAUUUAUGGAUGGUGGUACAUGGACUGAUUGAUUCAUGGACUUAUUUGUCUCGUUAAUUGCGAUAAUAAACGAGUCUUAAAUAUGUUAAGUAGAUGCUUUCACGAUUACGAUGUUGAAGCCAUGAAAACGGAACCGUACCUCCUGGCUUCUUAAAUACACAAUGGAAUAUUGGAAUUGAGUAAUAACAGGUUCUGUAAUGAUCUUAGUUGUCAUCGGCCACACGCUGGAUAAAUCAAACCAACCGCUAAACCAAUGUCAUGGGUUAUGAACUGCAACUGUGCGUAUGACCUUGAAAUUCUCAGCAAGUGAGAAUCAUUAGUUCGUAUUGAUUACGUCCC
rnacentral:ncRNA from 1 species